AUAUAACAAUAAGAUUAAAAUAAAAACGGCUGCUUGUGCAUUUUCAUGUGCACUUUUUGCUACACUAUAAAAAGAUUUAGAUAAUAAAUUUAUUUACAUCGAAUCAGUCUUGUUGCUCAGAACUAUCGUAAUUUAAGAAUUUUUUCAAAGUUACAUGUUAUAUUUCACGCUUUUGUUAUAAAUUAAAAGAUUUUAAAGGUUUUUUUUUUAUGUAGAUGAAUAUAUCCUCGGAUCAGAGCGAGUGAUCACUACUUGUGUUACCAAUAAUAAUCGAAUUUAAAGGAGCUUACUUCACAAAACUUGAGUAUAGCAUUGAUAUUUGCAUGCUAGAUGAUGCAAGAAUAUUAUUCAGAGUGGAACGAAAACUGCGCGCAUAAAUGCCAGAUGCAAAUUCUAAUGUGGAAUUGUGUGUAUGCAUGCGUUCUCAUAGGCUUUCAUCAUGAAUAGGACUACUACGUAAUAUUGAUGAUAUCGUGAUGUCCGUGAUAAAUUGACAAUAGAUAAAUACAGAUGUGCGUGCGUCUAUUAUAAAUUUACGCAAUGUUACGACGACCUUCCUUCUAUCUCUCUGGCAUUUGCUCCAAGAAAAUAUAAACUCAAAGAGGAACCUACGUCAAUUACGAAGCAAAGAAUGAGCGAUAAGAAAAGAAGAAAGAUAUCGUUGCGCGUGUGGUAUCUUCCGAUCGACCACGCGACAUUUCUUGUUGAAAUAAACGAAAUUUCGUGAUCUCUGUGAUCCUUAAAGAAUUAUUCGCUGAAAGAGUCACAAAAUGACGUAUGAAACAGUCUGCAAUGACGUCCGCGGGGGGUAUCUCGUUGUUUAAUUAUUUCAGAAGAUUGGUCAUUUAUAUAAGACGAGAUAUCUCAAACUAAGAUUAUAGAUGAGCUACAAUUUUAAUACAAAUUUAAUACAAAAUAUUAUACAAAUUUAAUACAAAAAAUUGAUACGAUAAUACGCACUCGAAUAUCUCUUCGCGUGAUGAGAUAUAAAUCUACAAAAAAUUCCAACUUUAUAAAAGAACUAAUAUAGAAAAAAUAUAAAAGAAUAAUCUUUUUUCUUCAAAUUUAAUGUUUUGUUAUUUUUCUAUAUCGCUCAUUUGUUAAUGAUAUAACUCAAAUUGUAAUUUAAUUAGGUUGUCUUUAACUCUUUUAGGGGCGAUAGAAAGUAUACUUCCCAUCUCAUUUUCUUCGAUUUUUUCGAUAUAACUGAGAUCGUAUAAUCGUAAAAUAAACUGUUCUAUACUUGUUAAUGAUAGAACUAUGCACUACUAUAUGAGUUUUGCAUCAAUGCAUUUUGCAAUUGUUAUUAAACAAACAAUGACAAAAAUGCUCUUUUUUCACGAUAAAUUCGUUCUAGAAGCCUCUUAAAUGUAAAUAAACUUCCAGAUCAUAAUUUUAAAUUCUAGAGAUGACGAACUAAAUCAUAUUAAGUUGAAGUUGAAGAAAGUCUAUUGUUACUAUUUUGUAUUCAACAAAAUAUAUAGCAAAAAUGCUAUUUUUAGCAUAUGAAAUUGAUUCAUUCACUUAAUUUAUAAGUCAAUUGUAUAGAAGAUAGAGUUUCGAACAUACAAAAUGUUAAUAAUUCAAAACAUUCGUAUUGGAAAUUUUUAUUUUCUAAGUUAUGUCUUUGUUGUAGCAAAUGAGCGAUAUGUAAAUCUGCGCAAUAGAAAUAUAACAUCUUAAAUCAGCUUUACACUUGAAUAAUCUGCGAAUAAGCAUUCGCGAAUUUUCAGAUUUCGUGCGUCUACGCGACUGCCGUUGCGCACGCCGCAAAUCUCGUCGAGAUAAGCACGUGCAUCCGUGUUAAGGUUCGCGUAAUGUUUACGUUCGGCACGCUUGAUCUUGAAGCCGAAAAAGAAAACGAAUCGUGCUCCCCCGAGAUUGAUACGGAGCGGCGGUUAUUUCGGAUUUCUCAAUUCCCGUGACGGCGCGUCAUACGUGUCGAUCAGCCGAUAAUCGUCGAAAGACGGAGAUAAAUAAAUAUGGUCCACGGGCGAGCGACGCCGACGGAGAGAAAUAAAUAGCUCGCGAAAGGGUUAUCAGAUAAUGUCCGCAAAAUGUUAGGGAGUCAGCGCGAGCCAAACGUAUACGUCAGCGUAUCCGAUACGCAGCUUAGCCGAUAGAUAGGAAACAGCAUUGCUUUGUUCGCCGUAUCUCUCCUGUACCCGGCUGUAGAGAUACGGACGAGAGCUAGCUGACAUCACGUGUCGGAAUCGCGAGCAAAGCGAUUCUACGCCGCGCGGGAAUCACUCGUGGCGCGAAAAGAUCAAGGAGAAACGAUGACACCGGGAUUCGACGCCAGCGUCCAGAUGGAAUUUCUCGGAGGCUGAGGCAAAAACCAAAUUUACAGAAUAGAUAACGACCGAGCGAUUUAUUUUCUGAAAAGUACGAAAUGAUAUCCCGGUGCAUGCGCGCUAAUUGUUUCCUUUUUUUUUUCUGAGGCUCUGUUUGGAUCACAGAAUGCUGGCGAAGGUAUCGAAUAAUUUUUGAUAUGUAUUGUAUAAUAAUGUAUAAUUACGUGUGAUAAUUUAUAUUCGAUAUUGCAAUUAUUUAAGCCUUAAUCUAAACUAUUUCUCGCAAAGUAAGGGCCGCAGCACAGACUUUUCCAUAACGCAUAAUGUCUAACGCAUAAGAGAAUCAAUCAAUCAGAAUAGUUUAUUUCCCUCCUUCAGGAAUAAAGCUCUCCGAUUGAUUAAUUCUCUUAUGCAUUAUGCAUUAUGCGUUAUGCAAAAGUCUGUGCUGUGGCCCUACAAACAAAGAUUAAGUUUCAUCCUCAACUUUAACCAAUCGACUAGUCUAACGUAAAUUUUCAAAGAUUUUUUUUCUUCAGAAGAAUUUUGGAGAUCUUUAAAAUAGAAUUUGUCAAUUACAACUACAUAUUAGUAGAAAACAUUUAUUGCAACACAUUAUGUCGAAUUUAAUUUACAAUAUAAAACUGCAAAGGAUUAAAUAUAAUAUUUCCUAUCGUAAUCCGUAUUUCGAAAAUAUCGGAUCUAUAUAAAUUUGCGCAUCAAAUUCACGGUAUGUGCAAAGAAAAUAUUUUGUUAACAUCAAAUGCAAAUGAGAAAAAAGGAUUCAUAUUUUUCACGUAUGUAUUAGCGUUCGAAUAACAUUAACAAUCGUUGCAGCGGAUUGCGUUGUAAAAGCAGACUGACUGCGUUGAAUAUUAAAUCAAGCAAUCGUAAAUAUAAACAAUUGUGAAUCUAAACGAACUUAUAGCAUAAAUCAGAAUAAUAAUUCAUGCGUAAUGCGCACGAGAUGAAGUACAAGAAACAUUGGAAAUGAUCUUUUAGAUCUUGGAAAGGAGAUGCAAAUACAUGUAAAUGUCGCAACAAGAAUUAAUAGUGAUAGAACCAAAUACAAAUAAAAAAUCAUUACAUGGAAUCCGCGUUCUGAAGAAGAUGCACUCGACCUAUGGACGCAUUCACCGUUGACGAGCCGGAAACCGUUAUUGAUACCGGUAAAUCAUAUUGUGUUGGUUAUUUUAUUAUAAACUAGCCACAGUUGGAAUUAAUCGACCGUUUGACAUAUCCGGGGUCUUAUACAGAGUUCCGUUACGUUAAAAAAUUCAAUUUUUUUUCAUUAAGGUAAAAUUUUAAUAAAGUAAAAAAAGGGCUAAUCCUUUCUUUUCUUUUAUCAGAGAAAUAUCCAUCGAACAUUAAAAAAUUAAGGAAUUAAAUGAUCCUAUACGGGAAGAAUGCGAAUGACUAUCGAAAACAUUUAAAUGAUAGAAAAUACGAUUCGACUAAUCCGUAUAAUGCAAUCGUUUAUGAAAAUAGAAUAAAUUCUGAUGAUCUAUAGAUGGAUUUAAGUAUUUGUCGAUUUGAUUUUAUUGCAGCGAAAAUUAAAAGUUUAUUAUUUCAGAUGAAAAAUAAACAUAAUUAAUUAGAGGAACGUUACCACCAAUGCUAGAAUAUCCCUCUUUAUUUUUUGAUAAUAUUUUUUAAAUAAAAGCUAAAAUUAAAGCUUUGAAAAUAUGGAUGUAAACUAGAAAGUAUCUUCUAGAUGACAAAAUGAUAUAUAAGUUCUCUUCGUCUGAUGUGUCACAUUUUUAUUUCUGUGAAGUAAAAAUUAUCUCUUAUCAAAUAAUUGAUACAUGCUCGGAUGCAGACCUAUGAUCAAAGGAUAUCAAUGAACAUCUUUCUAAUCUUCAGACUAUCAAGAAACAAUUUUAAUAAGACUAAAUGCCAGUCCACCGAUCGUUUCGUGAUGUAGAUUAUCAUUGGCACGCGCGCGAAGAUACAAAAAAUGCCGAAUGCACGUGAGGACUUUGUCAUUGCGCGUGAAUAAUACCUAGCGAUCGUAUAUCGUAAUCAAGAGGUAGUAACAGGUUGAUAGAUCUGUAAUUACUUUUGUAUGUAAAGGCACUGUUCUUUGGACUUAGUCCUUCGAUAAAUAUCGAACAAAUGUUUGCAGCCCGCGAGAGAUACAUGUGCAUCGUUCUAUCUGAUAUUAUCUGAAGGAAAAAAAAGAUAAAUGAGUCAUUGGAAACAUUAUUUCGUUAUCGCGGCAUCGUAUUAUUCGAUAGAUUUAUAUUUUGGAAAUUACAAUGAUGUAAUCAAUGAUGCAAGAAUAAUAAUCUCAUCCGCUCACCAGGAGCCGACGAUAAGAAAGUUAUGGUUAGCACAUUGAUUGCCAUAAUUGAUGAUCUAUAAAUAGAACUAUAAUUAGCUAAUUCAACUUUUUAAAGAAGAAAAUAAAAGUUUAUGUUGUAAAUUUUGAAUGAAAAAUAAAUAAAAUUAAGUAGAGUACCAAAAUAACUGAUAUAAAAAUGACAUCAGGAACAAAAUUAUCUAAUUGUACAGUGACAAUCAACGUAUUAAAUAAAUUUAUUGACUUUAUGGCAAAUAAAAGAUACUUUAAAAUGAAAUUGCUACUUUACACGUUAUAUAUUUUAAAUCAAUGAUAAUAUAUAAAAUCAACAAAUUCGUUGGUGAAGAAUUAUAAAGAAAUACCGCUGUAUUUAGAUUACUGUAAUUAAAUGACUCAGUCUUAUUUUCAUUACCAUCAUCGUCCCACGUAGAUCAAAACAAAAGCGCAUUCGUGAGACAUUUUAGUCUUUUUCUCGUUAUCCGGCAUUGACCGACUUCAAUCAUCUUACAGAACAUUGAAAAAGAUACGUAAAACUAGUGAUGGAAUCAAAUAUCUUAUAAGUAGGUUCGAAUCUGCUUGUGUAGCUUUAAACUCUCUAUGAUUAUCUUUGAAAAUUAAAAGCAGAUUCAAACUUAAAUAAAUUCAAAAUAGAUUCAAUCAAAAGUGGAAUCAAAAGUGUUACUUUCAAGUGGACUCGAAUAUGAACAAAUACGUUGAAAUUCUUUAUGAGUAUUUUAUUAGAAACUUUAUUUUUAGUAAUUCAUUCUUAAGGUUCGAGUACUACUUGUAAGAUUCGAUUCUUUAUGACAGAAAUUACUUAUAAAUUUAUAUUUCGAAUCCUUACAGAUAUUUAUUCUAAAAUUUAAAAGUAACCAGUCAAUAUCGAUUAUUUCACAAGUACGAUAUAUAAAAUAUCACUUCUUAUAAAUAUUUGCAUUCUAGAAAAUUACACUUGCUUAUUGGGUUUGAUUCGACCUUUUAAGUAAUACAAUGAACUUGAUUCCAUCACUAUGUGAAAUUCAGGAAUUCUCUUUCAACAUAUUUUAUCUCAGUGCGAUAAAACGUUAUAGCUAAUGUUUAUUUUAUGCGUUUCCUGCACUUGUUUCCCCCUGACAAUUUAUCAAUUUCGAGCAAGGCUUUUCUUUCCGCUGUAUAAUCGACAAACAUCACACGAACAAUGUAAUUUUGAUUGCCUUUAUCAGGCAGUAAAUUGUUAAGCCGCAUAAUCGGCGAAUCAUCGAUAAUUGCCGGCGCUUAUCGCGGCACGCAGAUAAGCUUGGAAAGCAAAUAAAUUUCAAAAUUUAUCGAUGCUUAUCUCGCCGAAAUAUUAUCCAUCAACUCGAGCAUAAAUAUCUAGCUAAAUAUCUCUAUAUAUGUGUGCGUGCGCGUGCACUCGGAUUUACGUGUGUAUCGCGUAUCUCAUCGCAUUAUCAAAAUCGCAUUAUAAAAAAUCAACAUGUAAUCGAUCUAUUAAUACAAUAGCUGGAUAAAAUUCAGAAUAUUUUCUCCGAAUCUUCCUCAACAAGGAAAAUGUGUUUUUUAACUUCAGUCCGCAAAUAAUCGCGACGACACCUCGACCUCAAAGAUCUGCAUGCUACUUUCUUCCGGCUGCAGUCAACACGGUGAAAAGUUAGAAGGUCCCGCUAACAUAUAACAAUUUCUCCGCAAUAAAUACGUGCAGUCAUAACCCAGUUCCACUGACACCGAUGCACAUGUAUCUAGGCGAGAGAACCGACAAGAGAUAGCGUCUAACUUUUUUCCAGCCGCCUAGAUUUGCAUUGAAUGACCAUGAUUUUGUGAUCGUUAUUCGCGAGAAAACAUAUUUGUCACAGCUGCCGAUCUGUUUGUUGUACGACGCGCGAAUCAUGUUAUGAACGAGCCUGUCUAACGACCUUGUUUGCGCGCCGCGAGAUCAGAAACGCGUAACUAAAUUCUAUGAAAGUAAUACGUUUGAAAGCAAACAAUAGGCAGAAGAGGAGGGAGAGAGGAAGAGAGACAUGUGGAGCUAUUUUAGAUAUUUGAAUGUCGAUUUACGAAGACUCCGGGAUCUUGAAUCGAUAAUAAUUAAUGAAUCGAUUCACAGAUUUUCCAGUCUUCGUAAAUCAACGCUAACAUUUAAAGUACUUUAUCAUAUCUCUCCGUCCAUUAAUUUUAAGUUUUAUAAAUUAAAAAUUUGCGUGUCUCGAAAGAUCUAAAUGUCAGUUGUCUAAAAAAACUUGUUCUAAAAUAAAGAUUAGCAUUCUUACAUCUAUCAGUUAUCGAUAUGUAAAUCACGGACAUGAAUAAAUUGCAGUUGCUGGGUGGAAGACAAAGAGAUCUAUUGAAGCGGCAAUUUUUUUUUCAGGUGUAUACCAAGUUAAAUCUCUUCACUCAUCGGUGAAUCACGCGUCGUUCCCUGGCGGGUUCUCGUUUAAUUGAGUUCAGACUACGUUUGUCUUUAUACGUAACUCGUCUCGUUUCCGUAAUUAGGACUUACGCAAGCGGACGGCGAAGUGCAGCGACGCUUGACCUCGCCGCUACAAUCGCAUCCGUCGAAAGUGAUUCAUAAAUAAACUCGCUGUAUUGUGUGACGCGCAUAUAAAAAAGAAAUAUAGAUGUUAACACCUCAACAAAACACUAUUCAAAACAUUUCGACUCUCGCAAUGCUUCAAUCUUCAAACAGAAUUCUUAUUUAAAAAGAAAAUUGUUUUACCUGCGCAAAUAAAGGAACGAGUUUGAAAAAAAAGCUUGUAAGCAAUAGAUAAAAAAGAAAUCUGAAAUAACAUUAUAAACAUUGCAAACAAGGGAAAGCUCUUUAUAUCAUGUGUAUGUACAUCAAAUAUAUAUUUUACAAAUUUUUCUGUAUCCUUGUCGUAGAUAAAAUAAUAAACGAAAGUAUUUCAAUCUCAUUUCUUGCUUAUUAUAUUUUAAAGAGAGCAGGAAAUGCGCGACAAAUUAGAUGCGUCGCGUUAAUUUCAUCGUUACGAAUGCAUAAUGGCGCGCGGUGAAAGAGAUAACGAGAACACAAGGCAUGCCGCUUGUGUUUAUCCCGCUUCUGCUCUCCUGAUAAUGAAAGACAACGCGUUUGUCUUCGCGGGGAAACAAAACACUCCACGCGAUAACACCUCGGCACCCCGCGUGCUCUUCACAAUGCGGCGCAUGCGACCCAUUUACUCGAGAGCCACGGCGUAUUAAGGAUGAUUACGCGACACGCACGCAAUAUACGCGUAUUUACGAAUUAUUUCAGGACUCGUGCCGGAGAUGAUAAGUCGCUUAUCGAUCGGAAGUUACAAAGCCUCGGAGAGAUUAUCGCGGGGUAAUCGUCAUCCGCGGCGUGUGUUUUUACAUAAAGCUACGCACGUUUACCGAUUACAACACGUGCCGCGUAACUAUUAUUACGGAAUUAAUAAUUGAGACAAAUAAGAGCGACUUCCUCAUUCGAACCAGAAAUUCUCAUGAAAUGUGUAAUCGUUUUUUACUUCUCACAUUCUUUCGGAUUCUUAUCAAAUUCUUAUCAAAGGCUAUCGAAAUUUUUUUUUAAAGCAGAAACUAUUGGAAAAAUAUACCUAAAAUAUUAAUUUCCCUCUUGUUUACGCGCGUGAAUCGAAUAGAAUAAACAUUUCUUUCAUGGAGCAAGGUUUACUACAUGAAUGAUAAAACUUCAUUCCCUGAGAUUAAAUUGCAAAAUUGUUUAUCCCCCACGAAAACAUCGACCGUGUAUUUCUUUACAUUUUUUUUAUGCGAAUGAUUUCUCCGAUUGUAAUAUAUUGCAUUCUAUUUUCUUUCUAUACGGUUCAUUUCCCUCCGAUCGAGUUUGAUGACCACCUGCGACAAACGCGCGAGAGCAAUCUUAAAAUGCGGCGGUCGAUGUUGUUCUACGCCGCGUAUUUAAUAAGAAAAAUUAAUAUUUAAUGAGUAUCGCAAUCUCGGCGAGCGUGACAGAUAUGGGAAAGGACAAGCGCGCUACAAAUUUACCGCGUCGUGCGCUAAUUAGUUCGCUCUCGUUAUCGCGGUAAUGACACACGCGCGAAUAAAUUAUAGACGGAAUAAUAAAUCCAUCGGUUCGACACCCCCUCGUCGUGCAGCAACAUGUAAUUUGCACGCGCGCGCGCGCGCACAUUUCAGAUAACUACCAAACCUUUUAGUAAUCAAUUUUCAGAUACGAUAUCGUUCAUCGAAUGAGCUUGCGAUUUCAGAUUUUACGAUUAUGUAACGGGCGCAAUUAAUUCUUUCAGAAAUCUUGAUUAUCCAGAAAAAACAAUUCGAGUCUUGUCGCACUAAAUGUUAGAACAGUUUGAAUAUCUUUUGAUUUUAUGAUUUUCCUUGAUUCUCGGAUAAGUAGUUGAAAGAUUUCUAGAAAACGAAAGGCAAUGUUCGAAAAAACUAGGAAAAAAUAAUAAAGCCAGGUACUCAGAUAAAAAAGGGACAAAAGAAUAACUCACAAAAGGAAGAUAUUUUCUACUUUUUUUCAUUGAUUCUCAUUUAUGGUAGUCUUUAUAGAAAAUGGAAUGCUCAAAUAAA
rnacentral:lncRNA from 1 species